rnacentral:tRNA from 1 species
GGAGUUGUGGCUCAGCUGUGGAGCACUUGCCUGGCAUGCACGAGGCCCUGGGUUCGAUACCCAGCACCA